AACCCUUAUUGAGGGCAUGUCCGUAGGAACUCCUUGAAUCUAUCCCAUGUCUCAAAUAGAGACUCUAAUUUCGUUUGGAAAAAAGAGGAUAUUUCAUUCCUAAGCUU